rnacentral:rRNA from 1 species
GAUGAACGCUGGCGGCGUGCCUAAUACAUGCAAGUCGAGCGAACGGACGAGAAGCUUGCUUCUCUGAUGUUAGCGGCGGACGCGUGAGUAACACGUGGAUAACCUACCUAUAAGACUGGGAUAACUUCGGGAAACCGUAGCUAAUACCGGAUAAUAUUUUGAACCGCAUGGUUCAAAAGUGAAAGACGGUCUUGCUGUCACUUAUAGAUGGAUCCGCGCUGCAUUAGCUAGUUGGUAAGGUAACGGCUUACCAAGGCAACGAUGCAUAGCCGACCUGAGAGGGUGAUCGGCCACACUGGAACUGAGACACGGUCCAGACUCCUACGGGAGGCAGCAGUAGGGAAUCUUCCGCAAUGGGCGAAAGCCUGACGGAGCAACGCCGCGUGAGUGAUGAAGGUCUUCGGAUCGUAAAACUCUGUUAUUAGGGAAGAACAUAUGUGUAAGUAACUGUGCACAUCUUGACGGUACCUAAUCAGAAAGCCACGGCUAACUACGUG